UGUAAAAUAAAUUACUAAUAAUAAUAAUGUUAUACAUAUAUGUGAAGUAAUAUUUGCUUGAAAAUACAUAAAAACGUAAUCAAAGGAUAUACCUAUUUCAAGUGAAGAAAAUACGAAACAACAAUAAGCCAUAAGGAUAAAGAGGAUUAUGCUAUCAUUUGGCGAUAAAAAAAUAAUCAAGAUAACAAAUGAAUGAACGAACGAACGAACGAAUCAUACGAAAUAAGUGUGAAUGCAAUUACUCACUCGGACACGGACAAAUGGAUAAUGUGCACGGGCGAUCUGCUGGAAGGAAAGUAAUUAAAAAUAACCAACAACAGCCAGCAACAACAACACAAAUCAUAUAAUGUGAAAACAAAAAAAAAGAAACGAUGAAUUUAAAUUGAUUAGUGACCGUGGCAAAUGGAAAAUAAAAUACGAAUUUUACUUCAACUGAAUAAAUGAUCAACUUUUUUGAGCGUAUUCGUCUGAUACGAAGGGUUAUUGAAUUACGUAAAUUGUUGUUAUUCAUAUUUACAUUAUGUGGAGUUUGUUCGUGUGCAAUUAAUGCAAAUAAAAAUAAUAAUUUGCCCAGCAUUUUAUGGGAAUGCCGAUUGAAGUCAAACGGCAUAAAAGAAAAACAAAUUAAUUUUCACCAUUACAAAUACAUGUGUGUGUAAUUAAUUGAUUUUAAUUUGCCAUUAAACACAUACACACACACAGGUACUGUUUGUUGUUAUAAUUGAAAACACAAACAAGUCAAUCAAUCGAUGCAAUCAUCCAACAACGCCAUAAAAUUCUUAUUAAAUUGUUAACUAUUCAAUUUCUCAAAAAAGUGAAAAAAGAGCCAAAAAAAAAACUAAAAUAAGAAGUGAAAAUAAAAAUAAAACCAGCUACUCUGUCAGCCAGCCAUCCAGCAAAUUGUGUGCCAUAACAAAUAAUUUAUAUCGAUUUAACUGGUAAUGGCUUUUCACCUUUAUAGCCACAGCCGUCGCCUGCAACUAUAUCAGCCACCACCACCACCACCAGCACUACCACCUCCAUCACAUCAGCAAUAAUAUCAACAGUCCCACUAGUUUGCCACCAGCCAGCCAGCCAGCCAGCCUGCCAACCAGCGAGCUGUAAUCACAGCACCUACUACUUUGCCGCCAGUCACUUCCACCAAUUCCCCCAUGAACAUAUACAUACUACUUACAUAUAUAAAUAUAUAUAUAAUUUCGUGCAAAAGGUUAAUGGUCUCUUGCUAGGGGGUAUACAUUCUCGAGCCACUGAACUGUUGUUGUGUCUUUAGCAACGCUUCCGUUUAUUGAACGCCCGUUUACUUACAACUAAAUCUUUGGCAUUACAACAUAGACAACAAGGCGAUACCGUGAGCUGGCAAUAUUAAAUACUACCACGACAAGGCAAAGCUAGAGGUUUCAACACCCCAUCACUGGUGUUGUUUGUAACAAAAGUUGGAUACACAAAAUUUGAAUAUUGUUACGGGGGGAAGGCGGCAGGGACCUAUUGUCUUUUAUCAUUGAGUGACGUGCUUCAAAUUACCAGGAUUGAGACUUUGGAUUUUGUUGGGCCCAAGUUAAUUUAUUUUCACUUUAUGUGGAAAUACAGGGGAAUAGUAAAUUUAUGUCCUGGAAAAUAAUAACACAUACAUUCAAACUCCCAACAAAGCAUUAUAUACAUAUUUGGAAAUCAAUAAAAUAAAAAAAUAAUAAUUUUUACAUAAAAAAAUAUAUGUGUGUGUAUAAAAAGCACACCUUCGGCAAAAAACAGAGCAACAAGCACUCCCACGCCUAGUCAGUUCAUAUUGAACCUGUCUGACUGACAGAGAAAUCCAUUGAAACACACAGCGACAUUAUCGCGACAAAGAAGCUGUCAACAUGAUUGCAUUUUUGACAUUGUUCUUUUAUAUGACAA
rnacentral:sRNA from 1 species